rnacentral:rRNA from 1 species
AACGAACGCUGGCGGCAGGCUUAACACAUGCAAGUCGAGCGAGACCUUCGGGUCUAGCGGCGGACGGGUGAGUAACGCGUGGGAACGUGCCCUUCUCUACGGAAUAGCCCCGGGAAACUGGGAGUAAUACCGUAUACGCCCUUUGGGGGAAAGACUUAUCGGAGAAGGAUCGGCCCGCGUUGGAUUAGGUAGUUGGUGGGGUAAUGGCCCACCAAGCCGACGAUCCAUAGCUGGUUUGAGAGGAUGAUCAGCCACACUGGGACUGAGACACGGCCCAGACUCCUACGGGAGGCAGCAGUGGGGAAUCUUAGACAAUGGGGGCAACCCUGAUCUAGCCAUGCCGCGUGAGUGAUGAAGGCCUUAGGGUUGUAAAGCUCUUUCAGCUGGGAAGAUAAUGACGGUACCAGCAGAAGAAGCCCCGGCUAACUCCGUG